UACGAAGGAUGCAAGCGUUAUCCGGAUUUAUUGGGUUUAAAGGGUGCGUAGGCGGACUUAUAAGUCAGUGGUGAAAUCUCGAUACUUAACAUCGAACGUGCCAUUGAUACUGUAGGUCUUGAGUACAGAUGCCGUUGGCGGAAUGUGUCAUGUAGCGGUGAAAUGCAUAGAUAUGACACAGAACACCGAUUGCGAAGGCAGCUGACGAAACUGUAACUGACGCUGAGGCACGAAAGCGUGGGGAUCAAACAGG
rnacentral:rRNA from 1 species